rnacentral:rRNA from 1 species
UACGUAGGGACCGAGCGUUGUCCGGAUUCAUUGGGCGUAAAGAGCUCGUAGGCGGCUGUUCAAGUCGAACGUGAAAACUCGGAGCUCAACUCCGAGCCUGCGUUCGAUACUGGACGGCUAGAGUCUGGUAGGGGGAUCUGGAAUUCCUGGUGUAGCGGUGGAAUGCGCAGGUAUCAGGAGGAACACCGGUGGCGAAGGCGGGAUCCUGGGCCACAACUGACGCUGAGGAGCGAAAGCGUGGGGAGCGAACAGG